rnacentral:misc_RNA from 1 species
CACCACUCAAGCCUCGCUUGGUAUUGGGCGCCGCGGUCCGCCGCGCGCCUCAAUGUCUCCGGCUGAGCCGUCCGUCUCUAAGCGUUGUGAAUCAAUCAAUCCGCUUGCGAGGCCGGGCUGGCUGCGCGCCGUUAAACCCCCCAUUCUUCUA